rnacentral:lncRNA from 1 species
UUUGAAGGAGAUGGACUAUAUUUACUGCAAUUCCUGAUAAGCUCAAAGUGGUGAGCAAAUUGCCUGAGACCCCUACCAGUCAGAGUAGACCACAAACAGAUCUUCAGGGAAGAGGUCUUCAUUAGGUGAUUAAUUUUUUUGAGGCAUUAAAUUACACUCAGUGAGAAGACAUGACCAGAAUCCAAGCAGACAGGAGCCUGUGAUCUACACACAUUUGUUCUGUGAAAGUUGUCAGAAACAAAAUGGAGUCACUAAUAUUUUUUUAAAAAUCCUGACUAAUAGGGCCAGGAAAAGCAAUGAAGAGAGAAUUCUCAUGCUUGUGUGCUUGGUGACAAAAGCUAUCACAAAAGACUCUGCAAAGUUCACAACCUUGCACAAAGGCUGUCACAACCCUACACAAAAAAUACUUGUGCCAGGGAAUCUGCCCAACAAUGGCCUGUUCAAAUUCAGAUUGGUGUCACCCUUGUUAUUGAUCUUUGUAGCCAAGAUCUCAAAACAAUUACAUUAAUCGUCCUUGUUUUUUCCUUUUAAAAUGUUUGUCUUGCUUUAUCUCUGUCAGUAUGCACAUAGUUUACUAGGGCAUACAUAUUCCCAUUGCAAUGCCUUACUCAUGAAUAAGUAUCUUUUUCUUUUGGAGAGCCUUUCUCUGUUUGUUAUUUAGGUUGAUAUAAAUGGUGUCAGAAAACGGGACCUGAAGAAAGCUCGCUCUCAGAAGAAUCGGCGGUUCUUGACUUCGGCGUGCAGUCCUCACUUGAGCCCUCUGAGAUCCCUGCCUCAGCAGCUGGCCUUUUCGGCCCUGGAGUCUUCUCUUAGGCUGAGCUUAUCUCUUUUUGUCAGAGCAUUUUUGAUAUUAUUUGGGAUCUGGUUUGGUUAUAAGGCUGCCUUAAAUGAAGGAUCUUACAUCUCUUCUGGGAUGAUAAACGACUAUAUGUCUUUUCUGGGUACCUUACAAGUUAGAAAUUUGUAUUGUCUCUGCUUUUUGGAGAAAGGAAUCUUAACUUUUCUCAAGUAACCGAGGUUGCAGAGUGGGUCAAUAAGGAACGUGGGACAAGAACCCGCAUGCGCCUCUCUCCAAAAGUCUUCAUCCUCAACCCCUGCACCAGACUGUCUUCCACACAUGGGCUCUGAGCGGCCAGCACUGGAUCUGGAGAAGCCACCACCCUGUCCUGUCCUCCAGGCAGAACGGAAGUGUGCCUGACCCCAGCUGUAAGCACCCGCCCUCUGUGGCCCGGAAAGAAUCCAGUCGCAGGGCUUGGCCCUUCCCCAUCCCCUCCUCUGGGCAGCCCGCGUUGAGUCCCAUCUGGAACGUGGAGGAAGAAGGCCCUGUAGCAAACGCACAGCUAGACCCCCUCCCUCCCUGCCAGGCCUCCCUCGCCAACUCCAUGCCCAAUUUCAGCCCUGAGGGGCGAGAACAGCAGGUGCUCGGGCCGCCUUCGCCCUUGGUGUUCUGGGAGCCCAUUGUCUAAUUUUGCUCGGGCCUGGCCUGCUUCCUUUUUAGUCCUGCGCAUGUGGGCAGAGUACAAGCUAAUUGGCAGGGCUGUUCCAAAUCCUAAAGAACGCGCGCGCUGCCUGCUCGCCAGCGGGAGGGCCGUGUGCCCAGCUUGCGCCCUGACAUUUUCCGAGGCCUGGGCGAGGCCACCUGCCUGACGAAGGCUUACCAGGGAAAAUCAGGUCCUGACAGCCUGACAGGGACAACCGCCCAGAGGAUUCAUCUGCUCGCGAUGCCUGGUCAGCAAGGAGGAGACUCGACCUGGGACGAGGAAGAGGCCUUGAAGGGACAGAGGAGAGCGCAUCCUCCAUCCCCCGGCCAGGGAGAAGUCACGCGGACCCCCAGGUUGCUGGGCCGCGAUGGGGGGAAGAGGAGACCACCCCCAGCUCCGCAGCGAGCGCCCUCACUUCGGGGAGACAGAGGCGUCGAUCCCUCCUGCGGACGGCUGGGGGCGCUGCGCUUCAACCGAAGGCAGAGAUCCUGGACCGGGGCGAGGCAAGCCCUCCCGGAGGAGAGGAGCUCUGAAGGGGGAAAACAGCUCUGCAGAGUGUAGAGGAGCCGGACUUUGCAGCCAGGUACCUCUGUGCAAGUCUCAGCUGUGCCUCUGAAGUAGCUAGCCGUUGCCCAGCACUGUGCUAAGGUCUUUUCAUCACUGUGUAAUUGAAGGCUCACAGCCACCCUUUAAGGAAAACGAUCUUGUCGUCAUUAUUUUAUAAGAAAUGGAAUGGAAGCUCAGUGCCACCCCUAGCCCAUGGACACAUUCCCAGAGAGCGGCAGUGUGUCUGGCCUGGAACUUAAUGAAUUCUGUCGGACAGAAGUCCAUGCUCUUAACCAUUAGGCCUCCCAUACAAAGAUACUUUGUACGGGGACAUGAGACACAGCCUAAUAGCACAGAAACUCACAGAGGACGAGUUUCUUAGUUUUGUCAUCUCUGAAAUGGGAAUAAUAAUAUUACUCCCACCUUGCAAGGCUUUGGGAAAGAUUAGAGAGAAUGUAAAAAGGUCCAUGUGAGAGGUCCUCGUGGGUUAAUGUGUGGGGGGAGUCCCCAGUCCCUCCCCGGGCACUCAGAGCGAUGUGGGAAGACUGUGGAGCCCAUGCUUAUUGAUGCUGUUUCAUUUCAAUUAAACCUCCGUCAGAAACAUCGCAUGACAUCAAAAUGGAAGAGAUGUUGAGUCUGAACGGUGAGGUCAUAGAUUUUGUUUUUAUUUAUGUAUUUUCCAAAUAAAAAUAUGUAUCAUGUUUUCUCAUCAUAAUUGUAAUAUGUGAUGAUGUAUCAAUUAUGGAAAAUACAGAAACUGUAAAAGAGGAAAUGAGGAAAACCUUUGCUUCUCACUGUUACAGAUAACUACUGUUCAAAAUUAUAGAUAACAACUCUGGAGGCUGAGGUAGGAGGACUGCUUGAGCCCAAGAGUUCGAGGCUGCAGUGAACUAUGAUUGCACCAUUGCACUCCAGUCUGGGUGACCAGCAAGAUCCUGUC